GUCAGGAUGGACGAGCGGUCUGGCACGGUCUAAGGCGCUGCGUUCAGGUCGCAGUCCACUUCUGUGGGCGUGGGUUCAAAUCCCACUUCUGACA